rnacentral:rRNA from 1 species
GGGCNUGCGUCUCAUUAGCUAGUUGGUAGGGUAAUGGCCUACCAAGGCAACGAUGAGUAGCUGGUCUGAGAGGAUGAUCAGCCACACUGGAACUGAAACACGGUCCAGACUCCUACGGGAGGCAGCAGUGGGGAAUAUUGCGCAAUGGGCGAAAGCCUGACGCAGCAACGCCGUGUGAGGGAUGAAGGCUUUCGGGUCGUAAACCUCUGUCGGAAGGGAAGAACGGGCAUUGGUCUAAUAGGCCUUUGUUUUGACGGUACCUUUAGAGGAAGCACCGGCUAACUCCGUGCCAGCAGCCGCGGUAAUACGGAGGGUGCAAGCGUUAUUCGGAAUUACUGGGCGUAAAGCGCACGUAGGCCGCUUUGUAAGUCAGGGGUGAAAUCCCACGGCUCAACCGUGGAACUGCCUUUGAAACUGCAGAGCUUGAAUCCUGGAGAGGGUGGCGGAAUUCCUGGUGUAGGAGUGAAAUCCGUAGAUAUCAGGAGGAACACCGGUGGCGAAGGCGGCCACCUGGACAGGCAUUGACGCUGAGGUGCGAAAGUGUGGGGAGCAAACAGGAUUAGAUACCCUGGUAGUCCACACCGUAAACGAUGGACGCUAGAUGCCGGAG